UGGUUCUGGCAUCGAUGAAGAACGCAGCGAAAUGCGAUAAGUAAUGUGAAUUGCAGAAUUCAGUGAAUCAUCGAAUCUUUGGACGCACAUUGCGCCCGCCAGUAUUCUGGCGGGCAUGCCUGUUCGAGCGUCAUUUCAACCCCUCAGGCCCUGGUGCCUGGCGCCGGGACGUUCCCUCGCGGGAAGCCCCCAGAGACAGCGGCGGACCAGUCGCGGCUCCGAGCGCAGUAGUAACAUUCUCGCUUAGGAGGUCUGCGGCGGGCUCCCGGCCGUAAAACCCAGCCCCUCAAAAGGCUGACUUCUCAAGGUUGACCUCGGAUCAGGUAGGAAUACCCGCCGA
rnacentral:misc_RNA from 1 species